GAAAUCUAACUAGUAAAUUGUAUAAUUUGUAAAGUAUUGUAAGAUUUGUUCAUAAUUUUUAUUUUUUUUUGAGAGAUAGGUAGCACACUACCUGCUUCGUUUAUUUCAUUUAGAAAUAAACUUAGCUAAAAAUGUGAAUCAACUAUGAUUCAAACUUGGGUCUCGGAUACCAACCACCAAGCCCUUUGCCACUCGCUCUAGGGACGGUCGGUUUGUUCAUAAUUUUUUUUUUAUUAUUAUUUGAGUCAAACGAAUGUAUAUCCAUGUGUGGCUUCUAGGGUAUUAAAAGGAUCCAACCCUUAUGCACUCAGGCUUAGUUUGGUUCGGGUAUAAGUAAAAAUUAUUUUAUUUCAGAGAUAAAUACAAGUUUAAGUAUAAGUGAGAAAUAGAGAAAUUUUACGUUUGGAUGAAAAUUAGGUUGUUCCUAGAAAUAAAAAAAAAUAGCGUUUGGAUAAAUAAUAUAGAAUAAGAAGAAUAAUGUAUAGUUAUAAAUUAAAAAUAAUGAUAUUACUCCUCUCAUUAUAUUUAAAAUUUUAAAUUUUAAAUUUUACAUUUAUAAUUUGAAAUUUAAAUUUUUUACUUUUAAAUUUAAAAUUUUGAAUUUAAAAUUUAAGUUUAAAAUUUAAAUUUCAAAUUUUUAAUUUUAAAUUUAAAAUCAAAUUUAAAAUUGAAAGAUAUAAAAUAUCAAAUUUAAAAUUUUAAAUAUUAAAAUAUCAAAAUUAAAAUUUAAACUUUAUAAUUUAUAAUUUUAAAAUUUUAAAUUUUAAUUUUAAAACUAUAAAUUUAAAUUUUAAAAAAUUAAAUUCUAAUUUAAAACAUAUUUUCCUCUCUCUCUCUAUCAAGGGAACAAGGGGUAAGAACAAGCUAGUUGUUAGGAUUUGGUUAGAUUUGUAGUUGAAUCAUAGUUGGAUAAGAAUUAAUAUUUAAAUCUGUUAGAGAUAAAUUAAGAUUUAAAUAUUAAUUAGAGUAUGAUUUAAUUAGAUUAGGAUAAAUAUUUAAAUCUAUUGGAGAUAGAUCAAUUAAGAUUUAAAUAUUUAUUGGAGUAGAAAUCCUAAAUAUAUUAGGAUUGGGUUACGUUUUGGUGGAGCUUUAUAAAUAGCUCUUGAUGAGUUUGUUUUUUGAGGUGAGUACGGUUGAGAGCCCAGAGGUGCCGUACCAGAAAGAGAAAAAGAGAGAGUUAUUGAGUAUACCUAGUGCACGGGUGCGCGUGGAUGAUUAUCUUCUUUAUGGGUUUAUAGAAGACGAGAGAAGGGUAGAAGAGAUUCAAGAAAGAGGGCUCGAGUUGUAGCUACCCUGUACAGAAGAGGAGUCAGGUGUAAUCUUCUCUUAUUUAAUGAAUCUUAUUUUGGUAUCAAGAUCCGGUACCGAGGUGAGUAUCGGAUUCCCAACAAUUGGUAUCAGAGUUGAAGGUUAUCAAUCCGAGGGAGAGAUCGACGAAGUUGGCCACAAAAUUCGAAAUCGAGAAGUUCGACGACAAGAACAAUUUCGGAUUGUGGCAAAUUAAAGUACGAGCAAUCCUCGUACAGCAAGAAUUGUACGAGACGUUGAACGGGAAUGAGGCGAAGCCGACGGACGUCACGGACGCGGCAUGGAUGAAGAUGGAGCGAAAGGCGUUGAGUACGCUUUAUCUAUCAUUAGCAGAUGAGGUUCUUUACAACGUAGCCAGCGAGACGACACCGGCGAAGUUGUGGAAGAAAUUAUAAGAUCUGUACAUGACCAAAUCCUUGACGAACUGAUUGUAUCUGAAGCAGCGACUGUUUACGCUGCGGAUGCAGGAACCGGCGAGCCUACAUGAGCAUCUAAACGAGUUCAACAAGGUGGUGGCCCAGUUGACCAGCAUCGGAGUCAAUCUGGAUGACGAAGACAAGGCGUUGAUUCUACUAUCUUUGCUACCGACGACAUAUGAGCAUCUGGUGACCACGUUGCUUUAUGGCAAGGAGUCCAUAAGCGUGAAGGCGGUCACGGCGGCGCUUCUCUCGAACGAGAUGCGGAAGAUGACUCAGGAGUCUGGCACGCAAAGUCGGGAUGUAGGACUGGUGUGAGCGCAAAAAAGGAGGCGAAAAUAUCCGCGACCGGAUAUCGACAAAAGAAACAGCUAUCUGAGGUAGAGUGCUUUUACUGUCACAGGAAAGGGCAUAUCAAGCGCAAUUGUCGAAAACUUCAGGAUCAUCUGAAAGAGUUAAAGCGACAGAAGGAGCAAACUGUCGUGAACCAGGAUGAGACGGUAUCAGCGACGGCGCAGGCAGCAAAGUCGGAGAUGAUCGAUUCUAAUGUGCUGUAUGCAGCGACCGGAGAUGCUAAAAUUUCGGAUGAUGCGUGGGUGCUCGUUCGGCGUGUUCCUUUCACGUAUGCCCGGAGAAGGAGUCUUUUGCCACCUAUAAGGCGAUCAAAAGUGGAAAGGCUCUAAUGGGGAACGGGACGGCGUGCAAAGUUUUGGGAGUCGGCACGGUAAAGAUCCGAAUGCACGAUGGGGUCGUGAGGACGUUGAUAGGUGUGCGGCACGUUCUUGGAUUAAAGUAGAAUUUGAUCUCGUUAGGCGCGUUGGACUCGAAGGGUUGCAAUAUUUCGACUUCAGGUGGAGCUAUGAGGGUCCGAAAGCGAGAUCAGAUCGUGUGCGAGGUGAACAAGCGUGGGAACUUAUACGUUCUGAACGGGAGCACGGUCAGAACGAAAGCGAGAUCGGGUCGUGUGCGAGGCGAACAAACGUGGGAACUUGUACGUUCUGAACGGGAGCACAGACAGAAACGGGAGCGAAGACGGUUUGGGUUCCGAAAGUUCGCGGAGGUGCAGUGGUUCGAGACGGAGCGACGAAUGCGGCGACAUCGAGCGAAUGAGACAAACUCAAGGUGAAGCUUGCAUAGUGAGCUCGACGUAGCAGUUGAAAAUUACAAAUCCAACCAAGGUGGAGAUUGUUAGGAUUUGGUUAGAUUUGUAGUUGAAUCAUAGUUGGAUAAGAAUUAAUAUUUAAAUCUGUUAGAGAUAAAUUAAGAUUUAAAUAUUAAUUAGAGUAUAAAUCUAAUUAGAUUAGGAUAAAUAUUUAAAUCUAUUGGAGAUAGAUCAAUUAAGAUUUAAAUAUUUAUUGAAGUAGAAAUCCUAAAUAUAUUAGGAUUGGGGUACGUUUUUGUGGAGCUUUAUAAAUAGCUCUUGAUGAGUUUGUUUUUUAAGGUGAGUACGGUUGAGAGCCUGGAGGUGCCGUACCAGAGAGAGAAAAAGAGAGAGUUAUUGAGUACACCUAGUGCACGGGUGCGCGUGGAUGAUUAUCUUCUUUAUGGGUUUAUAGAAGACGAGAGAAGGAUAGAAGAGAUUCAAGAAAGAGGACUCGGGUUGUAGCUACUCUGUACAGAAGAGGAGUCAGGUGUAAUCUUCUCUUAUUUAAUGAAUCUUAUUUUAUCUGCAUAUUUUUCUCUUUUAUAAUUGUAUCAGCUUUUGCUGAGGAGACAGGUUUAUGGUAAAAAUUCGAUUUGACGCUUCCGUUGCGGAAUCCCAACAAUCGGUACUGGAUCCACAGCAGUCAGUAUCGGAGCAGGUUGCGGAUUCACAAGAUCCGGUACCGGGGCGAGUACCGGAUUCCCAACACUUGCUCCCACCCACCCCAUACAGGGUUAUACCGGUAUAAUCCGGUAUAGGGUGGGAACAAUAGUUUCCACCCAUACAAGAGGGGGGAAUAAGAUCUUAU
rnacentral:lncRNA from 1 species